rnacentral:rRNA from 1 species
UUGGAGGGCAAGUCUGGUGCCAGCAGCCGCGGUAAUUCCAGCUCCAAUAGCGUAUACUAAAGUUGUUGCAGUUAAAAAGCUCGUAGUUGAAUUUCGGGGUUAGUAGGUCGGUCAUGCCACUGGUAUGUACUGGUCUCACUGAUUCCUCCUUCCUGAUGAGCCGUAAUGCCAUUAAUUUGGUGUUGCGAGGAAUCUGGACCGUUACUUUGAAAAAAUUAGAGUGUUUAAAGCAAGCUAACGCUUGAAUACAUUAGCAUGGAAUAAUGAAAUAGGACGUUCGAUCCUAUUUUGUUGGUAUCUAGGAUUGACGUAAUGAUUAAUAGGGAUAGUUGGGGGCAUUAGUAUUCAAUUGUCAGAGGUGAAAUUCUUGGAUUUAUUGAAGACUAACUACUGCGAAAGCAUUUGCCAAGGAUGUUUUCAUUAAUCAAGAACGAAAGUUAGGGGAUCGAAGACGACCAGAUUCCGUCGUAGUCUUAACCAUAAACUAUGCCGACUAGGGAUCGGAUGAUGUUAAUUUUUUAAUGACUCAUUCGGCGCCUUACGGGAAACCAAAGUGUUUGGGUUC